UACGUAGGGUGCAAGCGUUAAUCGGAAUUACUGGGCGUAAAGCGUGCGCAGGCGGCUAUGCAAGACAGAUGUGAAAUCCCCGGGCUUAACCUGGGAACUGCAUUUGUGACUGCAUAGCUAGAGUACGGCAGAGGGGGAUGGAAUUCCGCGUGUAGCAGUGAAAUGCGUAGAUAUGCGGAGGAACACCGAUGGCGAAGGCAAUCCCCUGGGCCUGUACUGACGCUCAUGCACGAAAGCGUGGGGAGCAAACAGG
rnacentral:rRNA from 1 species